ensembl:lncRNA
CUCUUCUAUGUGUGUGUAUCUGGGGGAGGGGUGUACGUGGAUGUCUUUGCAUGUGUGUGUUUGUGAGAGUGUUAGUGAGAGUGUGUGUUUGUGUGUGUUUAUGUUUGUAAGUGCGUGUUUGUGCGUGUGUAAAUGUGUGUGUGCCGGAUCUCUGCUCCCCCUUGUCCCUGGUAGCCAGGUGGAGGAAUGGCCAAGGUGAGUCACAUACAAAAGAAAUUGCCAGAGUGAACGUUCAAAUCCAAUUUACAGUGAAUGUUCAGUUUGAGAGCAGGAUAUUUCCACACCCUUCCACUGACGCACACACAGAACUCUAUGAAUGCACAAACACAUGCCCACACAAACAGAUAGGCUCAUCUAAAGGCCUCACACAAACAGAUAGGUUCAUCUAAAGGCCUCACACAAACAGAUAGGCCCAUCCAAAGGCCUCACAACAAACAGAUAGGCUCAUCCAAAGGCCUCACAACAAACAGAUAGGCUCAUCCAAAGGCCCCACAACAAACAGAUAGGCUCAUCCAAA